CUGUGUCCCUAUGUGGUGCUUUCGUCGAGAGUAUCUUUAUUUGUUUGAGACUAUGUAAUAAUUAUUAUUCCAUUAUGUAAUAAACAUUGUGAUGGUACUAUUUGAGAUUUGUCAACUUAUGGGUGUGACUGUUUCUGGGGCGCACAUGAGUCUUUUAUGCACUCUAUUUCAUUCUUGAAAUUUGGGUGUGACAUUUUUGCAUGGGCACAUGUAUCCUUUGAAUAUAAUAAUUGAUCAGAGAGGUAAUAAUAAGAACUU
rnacentral:lncRNA from 1 species